rnacentral:misc_RNA from 1 species
GGGGCAGCGCCGUGAGCUGUCACUUCGUUCAGCGGUUCGGAUGGAUCGGGGUCCGGCGGAAUACCAGCCAUUUUCUGGACGGAGCCCGCGAUGCUGCGCAGCGGCGUACUGAAAUCGGGCAGGUCGACCAGCGCAAGAAGCAGGGCGAUCACCCAGAACAGGUGAUUGUGGGUGAACAGCGCAAGCAGGCAGAGCACGGCCACGAUCUCGAACUGCAGCUUCUGCGAUUUGUGCGCCAUCCGCUCGGGGAGCGAAUGUAUUUUCAGG